rnacentral:lncRNA from 1 species
UGCGGCUAUGAGUUCUGCUACACAUGUGGGAAAGAGUGGAAGAAUAAGAAAGCAAGCUGCUCCUGCCCGCUGUGGGAUGAACGCAACAUCAUCAGAGAGGAAGACGAUGAUGACUACGAGGAAGACGAUGAUGACUACGAGGAAGACGAUGAUGGUCUUUACUACUAGAUAGAAGGCUGUCACAAUUCCUUUUCCUUUAUGUUAUUGCAGCUACUACGUACUAGCCUGCCUUGCAAGAGUUUUAGU